ACACUCGCCUAAUGUAUAUGCGAGGUUUAAAAAAUGACGCUAAAUACAAUAUAAGAGAGAGAGAGAGAGAGAAACCAACACAACGCAACUCGCCCCUGAUAUCGUGCUUGCCCUAUCCUCUCUUUCUCCUUCACUCCUCUUCUUCCAUCAAAGAAAGCCCUCUUUUCUCUUCUCCAACCCUAAGCCCUUUGUCUUUCUUCUUCACCACUCUUCUACUAUUUCAUAUUCUUCUUCCUUCUGACUCCGUUGUUUCUCCUCCACUUCCCAUUCCCAAUCUAUAUCGGAAUAAGAACCAGAGGAUGGUGUUUGCAUGAAGAUCCAGAAACUUCCCAACAACUCACGCAGAAUACUCUCCUCCGUCGCAAUUAACGUUUCUCUCCUAGCUGUGUGCAAAACAAUACUCUAAAAUGGCUGAAGCGGUGAGGCUCAACCUCUGAAUGUAGAAGGAGCUCAAGCUUCUCCUCUCUGACCCUCCUCCCGACACCUCCUUCACAUGCCUUUCCCCCGACUCUGACUUCUCUACCUUCUUUUUGUCUGUCAUCGAUGCCCAAAUGAUAGGUCCUGAAGGAACUGUGUAUGAGAAGGGGGUCUUUAAUAUUAAGAUCCAGAUACCUGAAAGGUACCCAUUCCAGCCUCCAACUGUGACUUUCGCCACCCAGAUUUACCAUCCCAAUAUCGAUAAUGGAGGCCGUAUUUGCCUUGACAUUCUUAAUCUCCCACCAAAGGGGACAUGGCAACAUCGUUGUGUGGAAUGGAAGCCGGAAUCGGACGUGAGUCUUUAUCUACUUCACUUGCAAGGGCAGUAGCUCCCACUGGACAUUUCUAUACUUUUGAUUUCCAUGAACAAAGGGCAGCCUCGGCUAGGUGCCACUAGGGAAUUUUGAACUUGAUUGGCUCAUACAUACCUCAGAUGUCAUCUUUUCAAGAGCACUCCGUGAUCAGCAACAGGUUUUUCUUUUCAUCAGAUGACAUCUGGUCAUGUUAUUUAUAAAGAUUUUAGGAAUUUGGAUCACUUUCUUAUGCUAGAGGGAUGUGAAGAUUGCUGAGAAUGUGUAACAGUUUUGAGAAAAUUUGAUGUUCCCUGUUUUCAAAUUGAUAUUCAAUUUAAACAUGUUAGUUAGUGUAAUGAAAAAUGUGGGUAAAAGAAAUUAUAUAUUGAUGGUGUUCUUGUUUUGUAUAAAAUAACUAGCCUUAUUUGCUGUAGGAUGACCCUCAUUGGAAAUGGACUUGAUCAUUGUUUGUCUA